UAUGAAGGGGGCUAGCGUUGCUCGGAAUCACUGGGCGUAAAGCGCACGUAGGCGGCUUCCUAAGUCGGUGGUGAAAUCCUGGAGCUCAACUCCAGAACUGCCUCCGAUACUGAGAGUCUUCGAGUCCGGGAGAGGUGAGUGGAACUGCGAGUGUAGAGGUGAAAUUCGUAGAUAUUCGCAAGAACACCAGUGGCGAAGGCGGCUCACUGGCCCGGUACUGACGCUGAGGUGCGAAAGCGUGGGGAGCAAACAGG
rnacentral:rRNA from 1 species